rnacentral:rRNA from 1 species
UACGGGGGGGGCAAGCGUUGUUCGGAAUUACUGGGCGUAAAGGGCUCGUAGGUUGCCAACUAAGUCAGACGUGAAAUCCCUCGGCUUAACCGGGGAACUGCGUCUGAUACUGGAUGGCUUGAGUUCGGGAGAGGGAUGCGGAAUUCCAGGUGUAGCGGUGAAAUGCGUAGAUAUCUGGAGGAACACCGGUGGCGAAGGCGGCCUUCUGGACAGUGACUGACGCUGAGACGCGAAAGCGUGGGGAGCAAACAGG